rnacentral:rRNA from 1 species
GGAGUGAACGCUGGCGGCAGGCCUAAUACAUGCAAGUCGAACGGCAGCACGGCAGAGCUUGCUCUGUGGGUGGCGAGUGGCGGACGGGUGAGGAAUACAUGGGAAUCUGCCCAGUCGUGGGGGAUAACGUAUGGAAACGUACGCUAAUACCGCAUGCGCCCUUCGGGGGAAAGCCGGGGACCUUCGGGCCUGGCGCGAUUGGAUG